CCAAUGUUUUGUCCCUCAAGUCUAUAUCUAAAGACUUGUCAUUUUUAAAGCCCUGGGUAACUAUUGUCUAAAGACCGAAACAAGAAACCAAACAUGAUCCAUAUGUCUAAGUGGUUUUAAAGUCGAGGGUAUUAAGAAGGGUCAAUGUUCAGUCUCAAGUCUCAGUCUAAAGACUAAAGUUUGAAGCCGUGGGUACCAUUUUCAUUGCACCAAACAUAACCCAAGCCAAUGUUUUGUCCCUCAAGUCUCUGUUUAAAGGCUUGUCAUAACCCAAUCCAAUGUUUUGUCCCUCAAGUCUCUGUCUAAAGACUUGUCAUAACCCAAUCCAAUGUUUUGUCCCUCAAGUCUCUAUCUAAAGACUUGUCAUUUUUAAAGCCCUCAGUAACUAUUGUCUAAAGACCCAAACAAGAAACCAAACAUGAUCCAUAUGUCUAAGUGGUUUUAAAGCCGUGGGUACUAAGAAGGAUCAAUGUUCAGUCUCAAGUCUCAGUCCAAAGACUAAAGUUUGAAGCCGUGGGUACCAUUUUCAUUGCACCAAACAUAACCCAAGCCAAUGUUUUGUCCCUCAAGUCUCUGUCUAAAGACUUGUCAUAACCCAAUCCAAUCUUUUGUCCCUCAAGUCUCUGUCUAAAGACUUGUCAUUUUUAAAGCUGUGGGUAAUUGUUGUCUAAAGACCGA